rnacentral:rRNA from 1 species
UACGUAGGGGGCAAGCGUUGUCCGGAUUUAUUGGGCGUAAAGAGCGUGUAGGCGGCCAGACAGGUCCGUUGUGAAAACUCGAGGCUCAACCUCGAGACGUCGAUGGAAACCGUCUGGCUAGAGUCCGGAAGAGGAGAGUGGAAUUCCUGGUGUAGCGGUGAAAUUCGUAGAUAUUCGGAAGAACACCAGUGGCGAAGGCGGCUCACUGGACUGGUAUUGACGCUGAGGUGCGAAAGCGUGGGGAGCAAACAGG